ACAGUAAAAAAAAAAUAAAAACUGAAUAUGUAUGCUAUUCGUUUGCUUCUCUUUUCUUGUCUUUCUUUCGGUUUUUGUUUUUUUUCUCCUCCUCUAUCGCUUAGCCAUCAUGAAAGAAGAAGACGAGUUGCGGCAGCAGCGAAGAAAGGUCGAAGAAA
rnacentral:ribozyme from 14 species